UCGUCCUUCGAGACAAUGCUUUGUUCCACCGCAUAAAGAAAUUCGAUUUGGAACACUUCAUGUGCUAAGGAAUUUUCUUCGUAGUACAAUUCACAUUUAACUUCCUACAGAUGUGCGUUUGUGUGAAGCUUUUGAUAGAUUUAUGUUUGCUGCAGUUUCAUUUCAGUUAAAUAACCGCUUGUGAUGUAACAAUCAGAUGUUUGCACAACCAGAUGCAGCUUCGUGUAGUUUGGUUGUAUGAGACUUUUCAGAAUGUAACAUGAUCUUGUUAACUUGCAAGCUUGCAGUUUCAGCAGGGAUUACAGUAAAUUGGAACAUUUCUUAUUGUUUAGGGAUGUCAAGAUUUCGUGAACCAGAGGCACCGCAUAGGAACCUACGACAUUUCUGCAGCCGGAACAGCACGGCAAAGCAUCUGAUCUGCAUGCUGCGACAAGGUAUGGCUGGGCCUGGUGAUGAAGUGUAAGCAGAACAUGCUAUGCUGCGAAUUGGUGCCAAUCUUCACAUCCGAGUUGUUCCCACGACAGUCAAGCACCACUGUGAUUUGCUUCAUUGGCAAGGUGCCCUGCAAGCUCUCACCAAAGCAACACAUUCCACUGGUUUUCUGUCAGAGUACCGUUAUAGAAUUUCGAAUAAAC